rnacentral:rRNA from 1 species
GACGAACGCUGGCGGCGUGCUUAACACAUGCAAGUCGAACGGAAAGGCCCUUCGGGGUACUCGAGUGGCGAACGGGUGAGUAACACGUGGGUGAUCUGCCCUGCACUUUGGGAUAAGCCUGGGAAACUGGGUCUAAUACCGAAUACACCUCAUUGGAUGCAUGUCUGGUGGGGGAAAGCUUUUGCGGUGUGGGAUGGGCCCGCGGCCUAUCAGCUUGUUGGUGGGGUGAUGGCCUACCAAGGCGACGACGGGUAGCCGGCCUGAGAGGGUGUCCGGCCACACUGGGACUGAGAUACGGCCCAGACUCCUACGGGAGGCAGCAGUGGGGAAUAUUGCACAAUGGGCGCAAGCCUGAUGCANCGACGCCGCGUGGGGGAUGACGGCCUUCGGGUUGUAAACCCCUUUCAGUAGGGACGAAGCGCAAGUGACGGGUACCUACA